CUCACCUGAAGCAGCACCUGAAUGAUUACUUUAUUUAAACAAUCCUACACAACGCACGACGCCAAUCAUUUUUUGUGAAUAUAUAUGCACAAAUCUGCAAACUAAAAAAUACCGAAUCCGCAUGGAUCUGAAGCAAGGAAGGAAGUGGGAAUGUCCAAAGUGCUCGAAAUCGUUUAAAACCCAUGGCGAUUUGAAUAGACAUAUCGCCAGGCACGAUCCUGAUGGAAACGUCAAAUGUGAGGUUUGUGGCUUGCUUUCCAAAAACCGAGUCGCCUUAUCUUCCCACGUGGUGAGGAUUCACAGCAACCGGAAGCGACCAAGCUGCAACACGUGCCAUCGCAUGUUUUCCAAUUCGACCAACUUACGGGAACAUAUUAAAGCCGCCCACAACACGAAGGAGCGACCUCGUUUCCCAUGUACGUUUCCCGGCUGUGAGAAAAGCUACCUAAAUAAGGGACACAUUUCGCGACACGUAAAUUAUGAACACGCCCAGAAUCCGGUCCGAUUUCCGUGUACCCUUUGCGGAAACGAAUUUAAAGCGAGGUUUGAACUUGAGCAACACAUUUCCACCCACACGACCGAAAAGCCUUACAAUUGUGCCACGUGUGGGAUGAGUUUCGCCCAAAUGAGGAAGAUGAAAAGCCACGAGAAGAUGCAUUUGGAAAAAUCUGCCCGAGAAUCAAAUUGUCACCUCUGUCCCCGGACCUUCUUAUGGAGACGUGGUCUACAACGCCACAUCCGAGUUGCGCAUGAAAAUCAGAGGAAUUAUCCCUGCGCAUUUUGUGACAAGAGAUUUUCCAUCUCAUCCGAAUUGAAGCGUCACGUGGAGGUGAAACAUGCUACGAGUAAUGAAAUGAUCCAUUCCUGCGACAAAUGCGAGUAUAAAAGUUUCUCGAAGUACAAUUUGGCUAAUCACACAAGAAGGCACAAGGCUGCUAGUCAUGAAUGUUACUUCUGUCAGAAGAAAUUCGUCUUUUUUUCAGAAUUUGUCAGACAUUGUCGAAUUCAUACUUUAGAAAAGAUAAAAUACUCAUGUACUCGUACGUAAUGGGCGUACCGAUCAAAAAUUUACGAAUGUUUACUAAAUUUGCAACAUUUUUCAAAACUUUUUCUUAGAAAUCCAUGGGAUUUAGUAACAAAAUACAUAGUAACUUGACAUGUUGCUACUUAUCUAGAAUAUUGCCCUAACUGUAUUACUACGCGAAAUAAGUAUGCACGUUGUUGUAUAUAAAUGCGUCCACUUGAACACGUAACCUUACGUAAAAUAUUAGAGUAGAGUGAAUUUUGUGCAAUUGGGCGGAGACAAAACCUAUUCUUAAACUGAAUACCUGAAAAUCGCUUAUUACCUAGAAAUGUUCUUAACGUGUAGUACUAAAUGCCUUCCUUAUUUAAAGGUUCACCUAAAGUAUUUGAUUAUGAGGUUGUAUGCAAUAAAAUUUAGUAAUCAUAUUUCCCAAGUACAUACUUUAUCAGAAAGUAAGUAGUUAGGUUUGAAAUACAUACAUAAAUUUGGAAAGUUUAUGCUUAUUUAUUACGUAAUUAAAAAUUACAAUUACUUAAAUAUUGGCCAACUUAUUAAUCAUAAA